rnacentral:rRNA from 1 species
GACGAACGCUGGCGGCGUGCCUAAUACAUGCAAGUUGAGCGAUGAAGAUUGGUGCUUGCCCCAAUUUGAAGAGCAGCGAACGGGUGAGUAACGCGUGGGGAAUCUGCCUUUGAGCGGGGGACAACAUUUGGAAACGAAUGCUAAUACCGCAUAACAACUUUAAACAUAAGUUUUAAGUUUGAAAGAUGCAAUUGCAUCACUCAAAGAUGAUCCCGCGUUGUAUUAGCUAGUUGGUGAGGUAAAGGCUCACCAAGGCGAUGAUACAUAGCCGACCUGAGAGGGUGAUCGGCCACAUUGGGACUGAGACACGGCCCAAACUCCUACGGGAGGCAGCAGUAGGGAAUCUUCGGCAAUGGACGAAAGUCUGACCGAGCAACGCCGCGGGAGUGAAGAAGGGUGUCGGAUCGUAAAACUCUGUUGGUAGAGAAGAACGUUGGUGAGAGUGGAAAGCUCAUCAAGUGACGGUAACUACCCAGAAAGGGACGGCUAACUACGUG